rnacentral:rRNA from 1 species
AUGCACGCUGGCGGCGUGCUUAACACAUGCCAGUCGAACGGAAAGGCCCAAGCUUGCUUGGGUACUCGAGUGGCGAACGGGUGAGUAACACGUGGGUGAUCUGCCCUGCACUUCGGGAUAAGCCUGGGAAACUGGGUCUAAUACCGGAUAGGACGAUGGUUUGGAUGCCAUUGUGGAAAGUUUUUUCGGUGUGGGAUGAGCUCGCGGCCUAUCAGCUUGUUGGUGGGGUAAUGGCCUACCAAGGCGUCGACGGGUAGCCGGCCUGAGAGGGUGUACGGCCACAUUGGGACUGAGAUACGGCCCAGACUCCUACGGGAGGCAGCAGUGGGGAAUAUUGCACAAUGGGCGCAAGCCUGAUGCAGCGACGCCGCGUGGGGGAUGACGGCCUUCGGGUUGUAAACUCCUUUCGCUAGGGACGAAGCGUUUUUGUGACGGUACCUGGAGAAGAAGCACCGGCUAACUACGUG